AGGCGCAUGCGCACUCGUGAAGCAAAGUCAGAAGACUCGCGUGCUGUCAUUGCAAGCUUUUACGCAUUUCAAAAAGGAAUAAUUCGUGAAUUUCUCUCAUUUGCAGAUGAGGAUAUAACAGUAAAACGCUGUGAAGAGCAAGCUCCAAAUUGGCGCCACCUCCUGGUAGAACACUGGAGGCGCUCAGGUCAAGAAGAUUCUCAACUGAGGGGAAAAUCAUUCUCAGCGGCAUAUCUCAUAUACGACACCAACGAGCGACUGAGAAGAAACAAACAAACAUCGGAAUGCUCACCUUUGUGAGUCAUCAUCUUUCCUCUCGCCUGUCCACAUUGCUCUGUUUUCCACAGCAAAGGAAGACAACAGGUUGCAGAAGAGCCCCGUUCCACUACGUGUCGGGUUCAGCAUUGGAGGUGGUGUACAGUGAGGUACAGUUCCUUCCCAGUUCUCCAUGAGCUCUCUACUCAGCUGGAUCACACUAUUGAAAGGCACUCCAGUAUAUACGGAACCUGGAACAUUCUACAUGAGGCAAAAGGAAAAAAAAAACAAAAUUGCAUAUGACAGACCUGAGGCCAUGUCAUGUGAUCUUCAGACGUCCCAGGCUCGUGACCCAGAUGCUGCUGCACGCAGGACUGAGGGUGAUCUUGAGCAAGUGUAUGGUUGAGGGACAUUUGCAG